UGGCCAGACUCCUACGGGAGGCAGCAGUGAGGAAUAUUGGUCAAUGGGCUUACGCCUGAACCAGUCAAGUCGCGUGAGGGAAGACUGCCCUAUGGGUUGUAAACCUCUUUUGUCAGGGAGCAACGCCGGCUACGUGUAGCCGGACUGAGAGUACCUGAAGAAAAAGCAUCGGCUAACUCCGUGCCAGCAGCCGCGGUAAUACGGAGGAUGCGAGCGUUAUCCGGAUUUAUUGGGUUUAAAGGGGGCGUAGGCGGAAUGCCAAGUAGGCGGUAAAUUCGCGGGGCUCAACCUCGCUCCGCCGUUGAAACUGGCGUUCUUGGGUGGGCGAGAAGUAUGCGGAAUGCGUGGUGUAGCGGUGAAAUGCAUAGAUAUCACGCAGAACCCCGAUUGCGAAGGCAGCAUGCCGGCUUCCGACUGACGCUGAAGCACGAAAGCGUGGGGAUCGAACAGGAUUAGAUACCCGGGUAAU
rnacentral:rRNA from 1 species